AAAUUCUCAUGAUUUUUAGCACACACUGCAAUAUUCUGUUAGAAAAAACGAAAAGAAAAAAAGUAAAAUAAUGUACUCUAUGCUGCCUUAUUGAACACGAAUACAUUCCUUAAUAUAUCAUCCACCACCACAUAUUUAACAUUUCGAUUUCGUCACUACCAAAACCCUAAAACCCUAAACAAAACCCCUCCUUCUCUCUCUCUCUCUCUCUCCUCCGAUUCACCAUGGCCGCCUUAC
rnacentral:lncRNA from 1 species